CGAGAGGAGCGACUCGCGAUAGUAGCGUUAGUGGUAUACGGCGAGCUAUCGACAGUUCUAUGGUGACGGGCGCAAAUACUCCACGACUGCCCAGUAUGUCAGAUACUUGGUGUAGUGGUGUCGAGCGGCGCAGUUCGUCAUCUGAUACGCGGGCGGCAGCAGAUCGGACGUUAAACAUAUCCGAGGUUCGUGAGCGAUGUCCUACCAUGUCUGCAGAGCUAAUUUCAGCAGAUUCAGAGUUCCCUGCGCGCGCAGGCCAUGUAGUACAGCGACGCACCAGUGUACCACCAGCGGUUCUGGCGGAAAAUAUCUGCGACACGAUAGGACAACAGGCGAUGAAAUGUACGUCAGGUCGCGCGAUCCUCGGAAGAGGCGGAUCUGCCAUCGCGGCAAAUUCUUUUGUCGGUAAUCCCCCUUUCAUUGAAAACUCCGAUGUUCAUAAUACGAGUUUAUCCACUGCUGGAGGCCUUUACAACGGAAGCGAUAUCUGUAUACGACAGCGCAUAGGACGUUUGGGUAGUCCGAAAACCCCAACGCCGCAUCCACUAAUACAGCAGUCCUCGCUAUUCCCCAUCAAGCAUGUUCAUCACUCACCAUUGCAUUCUGCCCAACGGCGCUGGUCUUCUGGAGACUCUCGUGUGGAACACGAAACAAACCUAAGCUCCGUUCGUGAGGCGACUCCAUAUUUUGGAGUUCCCACUGGUAUUUCGGGAUUAUCUAACGCGCCCCUGGCGUCCAGUCCUUUUGCAUACGGGACUGGAAGCUGGGAUGGGGUAAGUCGACCUUUCACGGUAACGUCGUCAUCUUCAGCGAUACCAAAAACAAGCUGUACAGUUCGGCCUACUGGGCCUGUAUAUUUACCUCAUUGGCGCGAUGGACUUAGCGUUCUUCCUCCUCAGAAUAAGAGCCCCAACCAACGGGACCUGCGAAGUUCACACAUCAAUCAACGCCAACGUGAGGUCCCGGGACAAUUCGCUAGCGGUAAUGGGCUGCUAGCCGCAAACGAGCGCCGUUCUUUAUCAACUGACGAGGCGCACAUGCUCUACCAGGUGGCGCUAGGAUCAAGGGACCUCAUCGACCGAAGCGUGGAACCACACAUGUUGCGACCUCUCCCGGCAGAAUUGUUUCACAGGAACCGAGAUGUCCAGUAGCAAUACUUAACGUGGAACCUCGACGCACAUGGCAUGCAACUCGUCACGAAAAUGAAGUAAUUUACAAAAAGGAAGGUGAAGAAACAGUACAUUACACUCAGGCACGUAUUGAAACGGCUACAUAUUUUGCAUUAUUGAUCCAGCGGCAGCACGAAUUCAGUUUACACAAGGACACAAUAAGCUGCUUAGGUUCUAAGAGCAGAGAUUACCAGAUGAAACAAAAGGUUCACCGACUAUCUCAAUACCACCCAACGCGGCUGGUGAGAUACGCUUCUUCAUUUUAAGGCUAGAGGUCUACCCAGACGGCUGCCAUCCUUCGACACACGGAAGAAGCUUGCAAGUCCUUCAACUUGGUCUAUGAGUCCACUCAGCGUCCUAAGUAUUUCCUACGGACAAGGCCUUACUCGGAUAAAGGCGAGCUUGCAUGGACUGGGAAUUAGGGUCUUCUUGUUUUUUUAGAAAGGCCCUAAACUCCACAGGGGGAUCAAUGUCUCAUGUUGCCAACUAAAAGCGUGCUGCUGCCUAAAUAUCUACUUUGUUUAGCCCUUCAGAGGGCGUGAGCGAAUGAGGAGGCAUAUUCAAGUCGACGCCAACGCUGAUUGCAGAGAAUUCGAACAUCGAGUACCGUCUUCCACGAUCUGCAGAUGGACAGGCGAACAGUGAGGAAGAAAACCCGAUCGCAAUAAAUGAGUAAAUGCUGAAUAAUUGAAACACGAAGUGUGAUAGACGUGAGACUAGGCAAAGGAAGGGAACCACGGGUGUAUAGAUAUGAAGAACAAGCAAACUGAAGAUAAAGAAGUACAGAAAAUUCUCCACAGGCAACUAAUUUACAUAUGUUUAUCCACUUCCUGAUCUUGAAAAUUGUAGCCAAACUUGGGUUCUUUCAGUAGUUUUAUAUGUUCAAUCAUGAACGCUUUUAUGUCCAAUACUUCUUGCACGAACUGCUAAUCCUAAUAGGAUGCUGGAAUUAUUGGUGUUUAAGAAAACUGCCUGGGAAAAAGCUGCAGAAAUGGUUCUAUCAUGCACGAAAGCAUUGCUAUUAAAAUUUUACAGCCGCUGUUGCCAUUAAGCAUUGCUUCAGACGUCUUCAAGCACAGAGCAAAACAUGGCUAUGCCCGGUUUAAUCGAUCUGCAUUCAGUAGGUAAAUACGUUACCCUUUCAACUAUUAUGUAGGCAUAACGUAGGUUUUAGGUAGUAGCAAAAGGUAAAGCUAAGAUUCAAUUCUUUGUUUUUCCAAAAUUCUCUUAUUAAAUUUAUUUGUAUUGGCGACAAAGUAGGGUAACAACACAGUUCAGAGAACACUCCGCACAAGUACUAACUAUAAGCGUACAAUUAUUGUCUUAUGGGUACGAUUACUUGCUUAUAUUUUCUGAGCAAAAGAAAAUGUUAUAUAACUUCGGGAAUAUAAAAUCUGUAAACGUGAUGGUCGCUGGCGAGCGUAGAAUAGUACCUAUAUCGUUAAGGUUAGAAAAGUACCAACACCGGCCUCACGCGACCAAGGCUAUAAUCCGCCAAACCAAGUUUAUGGAAACAUUAUGGAUCUUGAAAGCGUUUCUGUGUCCUCUUAAUGUGGGUCAAUAAACUUAAGCAGCGAACACUGCGCACUGGUAGUAUAUUACCAGUACACGGCACGGCAAUCGGGAGCUGUUCAUCAGCUAACGCAUUGGUUCUGAACGUGCAGCCCCAGGCAACAAAUGUCCUUCCGGAAGCCUUUUAGCUAGAUCCCUUUAAGCUGGCGCCGCAUAUAUUAUCUUUGAAUGAUUGCCAUUCGAAGUGUAUUAGCUAUCGCGACAUUAUUUAUAUAUAAUGUCCUUUAAGAAAUUUCACAUAUUGUCGAGUUUAUCGAAGAUAUUUUCGCAGUCAAACACAAUACCUGCUUACGGUUUUCGCAUGCGAAGGCCGUGUCUUUCUGCUUCUAAUCAUAGCACAUGCUGCAAUCAUUGCCGCAACUCGGUUUAGAAUGUACCAAAUGCACUUUUAUACCACCUCUGUCAUGCUCGGAUCCUGGGAACUCAUUUGGGGCAUUGUAUCCUUGAGUUGUAAGAUGUUCAUGGUCCCCUGUCCCGCCCUGAUUUACCCUUCAACAUAAUGCCACAAAAUUUCGAUUGGAUUUAAGUCGGAUGAAGCCAAACGUCAGCACCAUUAGCGAUAAAUAUGCCAGACACACCUUUCAUAUGAUACAGUGUCUUAUUGUUAUGCGUGAAUGCAUAGCUCUCACUUUGAUAUCAUUUUCGUAUUUAGGGCAGAAUUUUUCUUCUAAAUUACCCAUUAUGUUGUUUUGUUCGAACGUUUGACCUGUUGAAUCUCACUGGACUGGUGGAAUCUUUUGACGAACUGUUCGUCGACCCACGUUAUUGCUAGUUUUUAUCCGGGUUCGGAAAAAAAACUAAGGAAAACUUGGAUAUGGCACACUGUAGGACCCUAAAAACUAUGUACAUUUGUAUAUAAAGCACGCCGUCCUAAGGUUUUGUCUGCGGUUUAUAUAUAUAUAUAUAUAUAUAUAGUACCGACUUAUUAUUAUAAAUCACAAUUUUAGCCAGGGGCUCUAUCAAGCUUCUUGUUCAAAUAAAUACUUCGGAAUCGAACGAUAUGCCCAGCUAUAUUCCGACAAGCCCGGGUACAUGCCAAAGCCCAACUGCCGAAGUGAAUUUACAUGAAAUAAUAUGUAUGAUAAUAGUAUGGCCAACGUAAAAAUACUCUAUAACACUACGAUGAAAAUUAUAUAGAUAAAACGAAAAACGUUGGGCCUAUAUUGAAACGUCUACGAAGACGUGAUGAACUAUAGUAGAUAUAAUGGGUAGAUGAUACGCUAUUGCAUUGUUGUCGCUAUUGCACUUGGUCACCUGAUAUAUUAUUAGAUAGCGCUUAAACGUCUUUCAGAGGUAUCUGAGGAAUAAGCUAAUUCGGUGGUAAAACCGGAUGUUUUAAGGGAACUCCUGCUGGUAGAUAUCGACCGUAGUUGGACUGAGCGCCAGGUUAAAUCAACAUCGGUGCGGAUUUUUCGCUUGUAAUCCUUCGGAUCAAAACUUCUUAAUCCAGCUAAAUGUAAAUCGUAUUUCAUUGAGCUGAACUCAUAAGAAGAACCCUAGUUACUUCGGUGGGAAUAUACAGACAUUUCUUUCACUUCAUAUAUUUUACAUUUGGUCGUUUAAUCAGAAAAGUCAUAAACGCUAUUUUUUUUUUAUUUCAAGAUAAUGCUGUUCUAUAACAAUGCGACACUCCAUGAUGUUUCUCUUCGUGCUCGAGGUGCACUCGUACCUUCAAAAAUUUGAGACCGGGUACUCAGUUAUCGUCAUUCAGAUUUACAGCAGAUAAGGCAAGAAAAGUCGGGAGUCGGAGCACCCAACGACUAUCGAGUUCCAUUUUGAAAGUACAGUGAUAUAAACAGCUUGCCAUAUAAACCUUGUAUUCAAUUGAGGUGCUACUACUAGACACAUGAAAAAAUCAGGAAGAAAAUUCUGAACUUAAAACAAAUGUUCUGGAAAGGUGAACAAUGACGGGUAAUUGCGAUUUACAACGGAAGUCAACUUAUCCUAAAGUGCACUGGCGCGUUAAUGUGUUUUUGCUUGGUGGCACUUAGGGCUAGUGUUAAUAUCAUAACUGUUUACCUCGAUCAACAUAGUAAAAAAAUUGACUAACGGGUGUCGCAUGAUUUGAGCAAAGAUCACAAAUAAACUCGUACUUCCUUUCUCUCAUCCUAAGGCAAAUUUGAUGGAGCUUCGUGAGUUCUAAUUGCUGGAAAAGCUCUGUGGCAAGCGGCCAAGACAAUGAAUAGAGCUACACGACUCUAAUUGACCGAUACCGCUUAACUUCAGAGCGCAAGAAUCACGAUGACAAAAACCUGUCAUCUACCUUACUCGCCAGACGUUACAACUUUUCGCCUUGCCAGUUUCCUUAGGCAAAAUAGUAGCCGGCACGCCCUUCCUCUUUUGCCCUAGCCUCAAUUUUUUGACGGGCGUUCUCCUAGUGAUACUGAGAAAUACAAUUUACUUAUUCGGAAUAUUGCUAAUAUCGAUCUAAGCUUGUAUUCUCCUGCCCAAAAGGUUUCUACUCUCGUGUUACCAUUAUUUAAUACUAUUAAUAACGAGAUGGAAAUCUCUACUGUCGAUAUGUUCCUUCAUUUGGAAGUAUCCUCAGCUGAACAUUAUUAGCUAUAAUAAUUCAUACCAAAUCUCGUACUGGUUUUACUAGGCUAGCCAUAAAACAGUUUAAUGCCCAGAAUAUUAAGGUCUGGUUUUCUAUCCGAUUGCCGACUACAAGCCCUGUAGAAUCUUGCAGGCACAAUGGCACCAUAAGAGGGUACAAGAUGAUUAGUAUUUCAGUAGAGGUAGAGUAUCAUGUUCCGCUGUAGUUGGCGAGCUAUAAAGGCGGACAGUCCGUUUGGCCCAUGGGCCAUAUAUCGUUCUUCGGUGCAGUACUGGUAAUAACGAACUGAGCAGAUAUUGAACUUCACCUGCGUGAAGUUCAGUAUCUGCUUAGCGAGCUUCAAGUCAACUCUUCAAAUGAUCUGUUUUUUUUUUUUCCUAUAAUAACGAGACGCCUCUCGUCGAUAGCGAAUAUUGAUUGUCCAUAGAAAUCCUACUUUUUUUUUUUCAGUUAGAAACCCACUUCAUCGAUCACAUUUUCAUAAUUUUAUUGCAAAAAUCAAUGAAAAAAAUACUUAAGCUGCUAUCAAAUACAAAAAUCGGCUCCGUUUGUUAGCACAAGUUAAUUUUUAUCAUUUAUCGUUCUAUUUUAUUAUUUACAGUAAUGUACAUCAUCUUCAAUGGCGACACCGAUUCGCUUUGUCCUUUUCAUCAUCAUUUAUCACAUUACAACAUUGUUUACAAGAUUUCUUCAUCUAACACCUCCUCGUUUAUUGUCAGAUACGUUUCGGAAAUGCCAGCAAAAAUUGUUGUCGACCGCCAGCAGUUUUUUUUUGUCGCUUUGUUAUUAUCGUGUCCAUUAUUGGUUUUCCUUAGUAGCAGCGUGUAGUGUUUCUACUAUAUCUAGCUUAGCUUUCUCCCAUGUGCCUCCCGCACCCCCUUUCUCCCUGCCUAUCCUUUCCGGUCAACCUGACCAGAAAAACGUCCAACAAUGAUAUACAUAUAUCGGUUCUACAUAUGCAGGAAUAAUUCCGACAGACGUAAGUUACUCGAUUAUAAUAUUAGUUACACGUUCAAUAGUCAGAUAUAAUAAUAGUACUAAUAGUCAUAAUCACCAUCGGCACCGUUCUAAUAGGCGUCUUCGUCAGCAUAACUAUCCAUCGUAAUUAACGACACGUUGGCGUGAAGGGUGAGUUUUUCAUUUGUCUGUGUUUUUUUUUUUAUCUCACUUUCUUCUUCUAUCUGAAGCGAAGCUCUUUUUUUUAUUUGGG